UUUGGAAAUGCCCUGAAGAAAUAUAUGAACAUAGUGAGUGUAGCGCAACAAUGUUACUUUCAACGGACUUGACUUGACUCAACGGACUUAUAAUUUAAGGUAAAAGGAGAGAAAACUUUACUCCAUUGUUAUUGAACAGUAGUAGAGGACAGUGAAUCUAAUAAUAAUUAAUUGCGUUUAUAUAUGGAUCUCAAAGACGACGCACGGACGGAUCUCAUCUGUAAUCUAAAUGAAUUAAAUUGGAGAAAUGUGCAUACGAAAUGCAGCCUCCAUAUCCCAGCUUUAGUGGAUGUUUGUCUUGGAAAUUCCAGGUUAAAAUGACCUGAGGUCUUCAAAAACCAAGAUGUCGCUUUGAAAUGAUCGUAUUGGGGGGUGGGGGGUGUUGGUGGUGUUUUGUGAUGUAGAUAAAACUAGAGUUCGAUUCUUUAAUCAAAUGAUACACGAAAGAAUGAAGGGUUCCACAAAACCAUAAAACCCUUAACCAUGCGUUGCCACAUUAAGAUAAGAAGGCAACAUGUACAGCGACAGUCAUUUAUAUGAGAGAAGUACAGUACACACCGUUAAUGGAAAAGCAAAUGAAUACAGUCAUGUCCAACUGCGUUGACAUCGCGAGUUACUCGCUGGUUUGCGGAAAGUUUUGCUGACAGGUGAAGGAAACUCCGCACAGCCGUGACCUCGUAAGGCAGGUACGUAAUCAUCCCGAGACACCGACCGCGCAGAGCAAAACUCUGAGCAAAAUGAGAGAAACCUCGAACGUCAGUGAGACGAUUUAUCUGAAAUAAUCAGUCAGAAUUUUGAUGAACGUCUGACUGUAUCUUUCAUUCAAAAAACGAGUUCAAGACGGCUUUACAGUAAACGAAAAGCAAGCUGAGAUCGCUGAAGAUGGACAGUAUUUGGAAAUGAAAUUCUGUGUGUUUUCAGCCUUGCUAAAAUUUACCUCGUACCACAACUUUACCCAAUUUACGCAUAACACAUUGAAGAAAAAUGACAGGGAAAAUGCUUUGCGUUCUCAUGACUGGGCUUCUCUUGGUGCCAGCUUGC